rnacentral:rRNA from 1 species
UAAGGAAUAUUGGUCAAUGGGCGGAAGCCUGAACCAGCCAUGCCGCGUGCAGGAUGACUGCCCUAUGGGUUGUAAACUGCUUUUGUCCAGGAAUAAACCUAGAUACGUGUAUCUAGCUGAAUGUACUGGAAGAAUAAGGAUCGGCUAACUCCGUGCCAGCAGCCGCGGUAAUACGGAGGAUCCGAGCGUUAUCCGGAUUUAUUGGGUUUAAAGGGUGCGUAGGCGGCCUAUUAAGUCAGGGGUGAAAUACGGUGGCUCAACCAUCGCAGUGCCUUUGAUACUGAUGGGCUUGAAUCCAUUUGAAGUGGGCGGAAUAAGACAAGUAGCGGUGAAAUGCAUAGAUAUGUCUUAGAACUCCGAUUGCGAAGGCAGCUCACUAAGCUGGUAUUGACGCUGAUGCACGAAAGCGUGGGGAUCGACAGGAUUAGAUACCCUGGUAGUCCACGCCCUAAACGAUGAUAACUCGAUGUUGGGCGAUAGACAGCCAGCGUCCAAGCGAAGCGUUAAGUUAUCCACCUGGGGGAGUA